UGCAUGUCUAAGUACAUGCCGUAUUAAGGCGAAACCGCGAAUGGCUCAUUAAAUCAGUUAUGGUUCCUUGGAUCGUACCUUACUACUUGGAUAACUGUGGCAAUUCUAGAGCUAAUACAUGCAGCAGAGCUCCGACCCUCAGGGGACGAGCGCUUUUAUUAGACCAAAACCAAUCGGACCUCGUGUCCGUCUCUUGUGGUGACUCUGUAUAACUUUGGGCUGAUCGCACGGGCCCGUCCCGGCGACGUAUCUUUCAAGUGUCUGCCUUAUCAACUUUCGAUGGUAGGUUACGCGCCUACCAUGGUCGUAACGGGUAACGGGGAAUCAGGGUUCGAUUCCGGAGAGGGAGCCUGAGAAACGGCUACCACAUCCAAGGAAGGCAGCAGGCGCGCAAAUUACCCACUCCCAGAACGGGGAGGUAGUGACGAAAAAUAACAAUACGGGACUCUUUUGAGACCCCGUAAUUGGAAUGAGUACACUUUAAAUCCUUUAACGAGGAUCCAUUAGAGGGCAAGUCUGGUGCCAGCAGCCGCGGUAAUUCCAGCUCUAAUAGCGUAUAUUAAAGUUGUUGCGGUUAAAAAGCUCGUAGUUGGAUCUCAGUUCCAGACGGGUGGUCCUCCUUACGGUGGCUACUGCCUGUUCUGAACAGCCAGCCGGUUUCUCUUGAUGAUCUUCACCGGUUGUCUUGGGUGACCGGCAAGUUUACUUUGAAAAAAUUAGAGUGCUCAAAGCAGGCGUGACGCCUGAAUAAUGGUGCAUGGAAUAAUGGAAUAGGACCUCGGUUCUAUUUUGUUGGUUUUCGGAACACGAGGUAAUGAUUAAGAGGGACAGACGGGGGCAUUCGUAUUGCGACGCUAGAGGUGAAAUUCUUGGACCGUCGCAAGACGA
rnacentral:rRNA from 1 species